rnacentral:rRNA from 1 species
AUGAACGCUAGCUACAGGCUUAACACAUGCAAGUCGAGGGGCAGCAUUUUAGUUUGCUUGCAAACUAAAGAUGGCGACCGGCGCACGGGUGAGUAACACGUAUCCAACCUGCCGAUAACUCGGGGAUAGCCUUUCGAAAGAAAGAUUAAUAUCCGAUAGUAUAUUAAAACCGCAUGGUUUUACUAUUAAAGAAUUUCGGUUAUCGAUGGGGAUGCGUUCCAUUAGUUUGUUGGCGGGGUAACGGCCCACCAAGACUACGAUGGAUAGGGGUUCUGAGAGGAAGGUCCCCCACAUUGGAACUGAGACACGGUCCAAACUCCUACGGGAGGCAGCAGUGAGGAAUAUUGGUCAAUGGACGAGAGUCUGAACCAGCCAAGUAGCGUGAAGGAUGACUGCCCUAUGGGUUGUAAACUUCUUUUAUAUGGGAAUAAAGUAUUCCACGUGUGGGAUUUUGUAUGUACCAUAUGAAUAAGGAUCGGCUAACUCCGUGCCAGCAGCCGCGGUAAUACGGAGGAUCCGAGCGUUAUCCGGAUUUAUUGGGUUUAAAGGGAGCGUAGGUGGAUUGUUAAGUCAGUUGUGAAAGUUUGCGGCUCAACCGUAAAAUUGCAGUUGAAACUGGCAGUCUUGAGUACAGUAGAGGUGGGCGGAAUUCGUGGUGUAGCGGUGAAAUGCUUAGAUAUCACGAAGAACUCCGAUUGCGAAGGCAGCUCACUAGACUGCAACUGACACUGAUGCUCGAAAGUGUGGGUAUCAAACAGGAUUAGAUACCCUGGUAGUCCACACAGUAAACGAUGAAUACUCGCUGUUUGCGAUAUACAGUAAGCGGCCAAGCGAAAGCAUUAAGUAUUCCACCUGGGGAGUACGCCGGCAACGGUGAAACUCAAAGGAAUUGACGGGGGCCCGCACAAGCGGAGGAACAUGUGGUUUAAUUCGAUGAUACGCGAGGAACCUUACCCGGGCUUAAAUUGCAUUUGAAUAAUCUGGAAACAGGUUAGCCGCAAGGCAAAUGUGAAGGUGCUGCAUGGUUGUCGUCAGCUCGUGCCGUGAGGUGUCGGCUUAAGUGCCAUAACGAGCGCAACCCUUAUCUUUAGUUACUAACAGGUCAUGCUGAGGACUCUAGAGAGACUGCCGUCGUAAGAUGUGAGGAAGGUGGGGAUGACGUCAAAUCAGCACGGCCCUUACGUCCGGGGCUACACACGUGUUACAAUGGGGGGUACAGAAGGCAGCUACCUGGCGACAGGAUGCUAAUCCCAAAAACCUCUCUCAGUUCGGAUCGAAGUCUGCAACCCGACUUCGUGAAGCUGGAUUCGCUAGUAAUCGCGCAUCAGCCAUGGCGCGGUGAAUACGUUCCCGGGCCUUGUACACACCGCCCGUCAAGCCAUGAAAGCCGGGGGUACCUGAAGUACGUAACCGCAAGGAGCGUCCUAGGGUAAAACUGGUGAUUGGGGCU